UACGAAGGGGGCUAGCGUUGCUCGGAAUCACUGGGCGUAAAGCGCACGUAGGCGGAUUGUUAAGUCGGGGGUGAAAUCCUGGAGCUCAACUCCAGAACUGCCUUCGAUACUGGCGAUCUUGAGUCCGGGAGAGGUGAGUGGAACUCCGAGUGUAGAGGUGAAAUUCGUAGAUAUUCGGAAGAACACCAGCGGCGAAGGCGGCGCUCUGGGCCGGUACUGACACUGAGGAGCGAAAGCGUGGGUAGCAAACAGG
rnacentral:rRNA from 1 species